rnacentral:rRNA from 1 species
UACAGAGGUGGCUAGCGUUGUUCGGAAUUACUGGGCGUAAAGGGCGCGUAGGCGGCUUGGUCAGUCCCGUGUGAAAUCCCUCGGCUCAACUGAGGAACUGCACGGGAAACUGCCUGGCUUGAGUUCGGGAGAGGGAAGCGGAAUUCCGGGUGUAGCGGUGAAAUGCGUAGAAUAUCCGGAGGAACACCGGUGGCGAAGGCGGCUUCCUGGACCGACACUGACGCUGGAGGCGACGGAAAGCUAGGGGAGCAAACGGG